GAGCCAGACUCCUACGGGAGGCAGCAGUGGGGAAUAUUGCACAAUGGGGGAAACCCUGAUGCAGCGACGCCGCGUGAGCGAUGAAGUAUUUCGGUAUGUAAAGCUCUAUCAGCAGGGAAGAAGAUGACGGUACCUGACUAAGAAGCCCCGGCUAACUACGUGCCAGCAGCCGCGGGAAUACGUAGGGGGCAAGCGUUAUCCGGAUUUACUGGGUGUAAAGGGAGCGUAGACGGCGAUGCAAGCCAGAUGUGAAAGCCCGGGGCUCAACCCCGGGACUGCAUUUGGAACUGUGUGGCUGGAGUGUCGGAGAGGCAGGCGGAAUUCCUGGUGUAGCGGUGAAAUGCGUAGAUAUCAGGAGGAACACCGGUGGCGAAGGCGGCCUGCUGGACUGCAACUGACGUUGAGGCCCGAAAGCGUGGGGAGCAAACAGGAUUAGAUACCCGAGUA
rnacentral:rRNA from 1 species